GAAUGGAUAAUCCUUGCAAAUGAUUGGAAGACUCCUUCAGGGCGGCAAUAAUCCAGACAAUCUGUUGCUUGCUGGGUUCAGCCCUAUCAGUUGUUGUCAUAAUCUCACUGGGGUUGCUACUAGUGGUGAUCUCUUCUGGUGAGUCUGGUUAUUUAAGCACUAAGGUGUGUUAGCUGACUGUUUUGGUCAUGGGAGCAGGAUGUUCUUCCUUAUUUAUAGUCUUCUAUCAUUGCUGACUUUUUCCUUAUUUCACUUUCCAUUAUAACUGACAGUUCUUAUUUUUGCACUCCCAGUGGGUACGCUUUUUGGAAGAUGGGUCUGUGAAUUACAUAGUUGGUAAUGGAUCUUAUUUCUAGUCUUCUAUCAUUGCUGACUUUUCUCGAAUAUCCAGUUUAUAAAAAUAUUUCUGGCAAUAAGAGCAAAGCAACCUGACUAUCUGGUUACUGCUGAUGAUGUUGAUUCAUACCUUGCCAUUGAAGUAAAGCCCCUUGAUGGCAGGAACAGGAUGGUCAAGUGGAGCUUGCUGCCGUAGGAGUUUCCAUUGCUAUAUUUAAUCAAGUAUCAAGGGUUCCUAUCUUCAGAGGAUUUUUUUGACGCUACUCGCGCUGGGAGUACCAUAUAGAGGGAUUUUUUUUAUAUAUAAAAUUAUUUAAGACUAUUUUCAAUUUAUUAUAUAA